GAGCCCUAUCCUGCUUCUCCCUUCCCAUUCCAUCUCCCUCUCUCCCUCUUUCAAAAUGAAGAAAAAGUCACAGAAAUCUCUACCGUCGAUUCCUCCUGAUCUGAAAACCAUAAUCCACAAGCACUCCAUCUUCUUCGACAAUCUAAUCGAGCUAAUCCCCGCGAGAUUCUACCUCCCCGUCGAAGAUAAAGAGAAGCCAUGGUUCCAAGGCCUCAGCAAGGUCGCCAAAGCCUCCUUCAAGAAAGAAACCCGCGAAAAUAUCAAGAAAUCUCGCAGAUCUCGUCUCGACCCUGAUAACUCCUCGACUACAACCCUAGAUCUCCUCAAGAAAUCCAUCCAGAACGAGAAAUCACCUACCGAGAAAUCGGACGAGAUCGACGUCCGCAUUGAAAACCCCAUCCCUGACGAUCGAUCCGUCACCUACGAGGAGCUCCGGGAGCGUCUCCACCGACGGAUCGCUGAGCUCAGAGGGAAUCGCAACACUGCCGAUAAAGACGAUAACAAGAAGAAGAUCGAUGGUAAGAAGAAGAAGAGAGGAGAUCUGCCGAAGCGGAAGCAGGGCCUCGAAUCGGAAGAGAUGAAGGCUUCAGGAUUAGAGAAUGGUCUUGCUUUUGGGCAUGUGAAGAUCGGGGAACAAGAUGAGCAGAUUAGGAAGAAGAGGAAGCUGUCGAAGGCUCAAGAGCUCGAAAAGGCGAAGAGAUUGGAGGAGGCGAAGAAGGAUCCGGAGAAAGGGGAGGUGAUUUCGAAGAAGCACUCGUGGCAGGCUGCGGUGAGCCGGGCUGCGGGGGUUAAGGUCCAUGAUGAUCCAAGGAUUUUGAAGCAGAGUAUAAAGAAGGAGAAGAAGAGGAAGGAGAAGAACGCUGAGAAGUGGAAGGAGAGGAUGGAGAGUAGGGACAAGGCAAGGGCAGAGAAGCAGCAGACAAGGUCAGAGAAUAUCUUGGGGAGGAUUCGGGAGAAGAAGGCGAGGAGGAUUGCGAAGAGGGAGAAGAAGCUGAUGCGGCCUGGGUUUGAGGGUCGGAAGGAAGGGUUCAUCAAUGGACCUUGAGGCCACAUCACUGGAUGGGUCAUGCCCCUAUCCUAGCCUACCACCAACAGGAUUCAUGUAGCUGACCUCAAUUAGUUGGGAUAAGGCUUAGAUGAUGAUGGUGGUGGAAUUGAAGCUCAAAGAAUUCAAAUAUUUCUCAUUGCUGGUCAAUUGGUAGCCAAACUCACCCUUAGGAAGUUCAUCUUUGUUCCUGUUUUCUUUAUCAAAGGUUGAAUAAAUGUUGCAAAAUGGAGAUACAUGCUUACGAUGGGUCUAACUAUCACAUUUUGAAAUUUAUGACUUAUUUUGCUGGA